rnacentral:rRNA from 1 species
AGUAAUACAUCGGAACGUGUCUUCUAGUGGGGGAGUAACUGCCCAAAGGGCAGCUAAUACCGCAUGAGACCUGAGGGUGAAAGCGGGGGAUCGCAAGACCUCGCGCUGGAAGAGCGGCCGAUGUCCGAUUAGCUAGUUGGUGAGGUAAAGGCUCACCAAGGCGACGAUCGGUAGCUGGUCUGAGAGGACGACCAGCCACACUGGGACUGAGACACGGCCCAG